CCACUGUGAUGUUCUUGGAAACGAGGAGGAUGUAAGAUUGUUUUUCGCAGAUAUGCUAGAAUGCGUUAACUCGCUGCAAAACGUAAAUAGUGAGUUCAAUGAAGAAAGGCUUUACAAGCAGCUGGAUGACCACGCACGGACAUUAGCCUCGUUUAUGACCGCUGUGUCAAGACCAGAGCAACGUGAUGUGCUUAACACCUUGACUUCACUGUACAGUUGUUUUUUGCACCUUCUGCGUGAUUAUGAUGAAAACCGGCAGUUGUCCCAGGUAACAACAUCUCAGCAGCAACCUCCCACUAUCACCACUGGCACUCCUGGAAGAUCGAGAAACAACAUAAGUGUUGAACAGAUCUCUCAUUGCCUUUCUCUUGGGAUGACAUGGAGCAGGAUAUCAUCCUGCUUUGGGAUCAGCAGGAGAACUUUGCAACGGCAUAGAAAUUCUCUUGGCCUUGAACCUCUGACCUAUAAUUCUAUGUCUAAAGACGAAUUAGAUGGGAUAGUGACUUCAAUUUUGCAGACCGCAACAAAUGCAGGUUAAAACUUUUGUAUUUUGAUGAAAACAGACUAUAUAAAUCACAAGACAACAUAAACAUGGAUUGAAGGAAUUUGAAUGUGCAUACAUACUUAUGAGUUAGGGUGAAGGCAAGUUUUGUUGUGAUUGAUGUGCAACAAGCACAUGCAUGUGUUUGUGCAUUUGUGGGCGGGGGUAAAAGUGCGUUUCUUUUAUUUUCCUCAACUUUGUUAAUUUUGUCAUUAAUAUCAUUAUUACCAUCCCAAUUAUCACUGACUAUUUCGCUCCCUUCCUCUGUCUAGGUGAAGCUUAUGUUUUGGGAGGCUUGCUGGCUCGUGGCCUAAGGAUUCAGCGGUGGAGAGUGAGGCUUAGUCUAAACACAGUUGACCCUAUUGGGAGGUCAUUAAGGCGUCGGCGGGCCAUUCGCCGCAGAGUUUAUUCUGUGCAGCAUCCAAACCAACUCUGGUCAGUUAACUCCAUAGAUAUUUUUCUUGCAUAUUGAUAUAUUCUUUUGUUGUGUGCUUGAAAUUACUCUGCCAUACAUGCUUAGACAACUUUCUCCUUCCAAAUGAUCUAUUUUUAAUUGUAAAAUAUAAUCAUCUACAUGUUAAAAGCUUGCACAGUCUUUGAAUCAGAAUGGUUUUAGAAUAGGAACAUAUUUGAAAGUCUCGCUCGCGGAUUUAAAAUAAACAAUAAACAGAUUUAUCGGGGUAUUGUUAAGAAUGUGAGAAGGUCCAAUUUUUUUUUUUUUACUGUAGAUAUUUGUAAUUGCAAGGGUCAAUACUGUAAAUAUUGAAUCAGAAUGUUUGUUGAAGUGAUCCUUUUGCCGGUGCGUUAGACGAUUUUUAUAUUGUGAAUGGUCUUAAGUAAGAAUGCUCAUUGGCCACUGUAUAAACCUGCUGUCACUCUGCCUCUGCCCAGGGACUACAGAUGAAAAUUAGCUUGUAGCUAUCUCUGGUCUGUGCAACACAUUUGUUGUGCAAUGUCCCUGUCAAAUAAAUAAAUAAUACUAAAUGUAAUUGUUGUAAAUACAAAUUGGUACAUAGGCCUACAGUAGAUUUG
ensembl:lncRNA